GGGGGGAGGCCAGAUCCUGGGCUGUGUCCUCGGCGCCCAGGCGCCCAGUGUUCCCGGGCCUUCGCUCUUGGAUUCGCGCUCCCGGCCGCAUAGCCGCCU
rnacentral:pre_miRNA from 1 species